ensembl:lncRNA
UUUUCAGGUAGCUUUGCAGUUAGGUUUCUUGAAGUGUCUUGGAAACGUUGCCACGGUUCUUCUGGAUUUAGUCUGUUUCAGUUUUUUCUGUUUCUUCAUGUCAUUCCAGACGGACUGGAGGAUGGUGAGAUCAGAUCUCUGUGUGGAGCACUGACUCCUUGUGUAUACAAAAAUCUCAGUGCAUUACUCCAAUUAAUGGCGAAAGAAAUGUUUGGAAAUAUUUACAGAUCAGGCAAGUAAUACUUCUCAGAUCUAAGGAAGACUCCAGUAGGACAUCUGAAGAACAGAGGAAAUCUGCCAGAUUCACUUCCACCAUCUCUAUCAGUCUUCCUAAUAGAAGAAACAAAAAAGACACGGCGGUGGAAAAAACACUGCAUGCUACAACUAACCUUUACAGCACACAUGAAGCCGUAAAAAACACAGCUAAUCAAAACCACACAGAGCUAAGAGACGUGCUUUCACCAACUGAGCAAUGUGGUGAAUCAACUGGUGAAUUCUUUAAGAAUAGGGAUGGGCCAAAAGCAAGCUUUGAUGAAGACAGUUUUACCACUCUGCAUCAACAUGGACAUAACACACCAAAACAGGGACAAAAUACAGGAAUACAACACAACAUAGGCCUUCAUGAACAAACGCAAAUUGUCUACAACGGCUCACAAAGACAUUCUACUCAACCUGUUUGUAAGGUUCAAACAGAAUUCAACAAGGAAUCUGGAGCCAGCGACUGUAGAAAGAAUGCUGCAACAACUCCACAGUACCACAGUAAUCUGACCUCCUUUGAAGUGGACAAUGGUCUAAAAGCAAGCACUGAUUCCCAGUUUUUUGCACACCAUUCAGAAGUAGUAAACCAGGUCUUGCCAUUAGACUCUUUUCCUGCUCCUCAUUCUGAAAGUACCCCUGAGCCAGAACCUGGUCUUAACAAUCCUACAUCAACUAUGUUGACAUCAGCCCUGGUCUCAGUUCUUGCUCCACCUUGGAGUGGCCGUCUUCGAAGACCCAAGCAAGGCGGCAGCGAAGUACAGCAUGAACCCCAAGAUUGUGCACAGAAUGUCAACCCAUCUACCUUAUUUCGCCAGGAUCAGCACCAACAACCAUUUCUUCCUUCCCAGAGGCAACCAUCUGAACACAUGUUGGCCAAUGACAAUGACAUGCAGUUGACUGCAGGAACCAGCUGUAACUCUCCUGACUGGCAAAAAGAGAACAAUUCCCCAAACAUCACAACCACAAUACAGCCAAAGAGACCCAUUAUUAAAUCCUCCUCUGUGGGCAUGAUGUACAAUAAUACAGAUUUGCAUCCUUUUCCCACACCUCUGGACACUCAUCAGGUACCAAAUUUGGCCCAUUCAGGGUACAGAAUAUCAAAAACUGGAGAUGAACAUCAGCCUUUCAAAUCAUUGAGCUCUAAGCCAACAACAAGCACCCUACUUCUUUCCUUGAGGAGGUCAAAUUUGAGAAGCUCCAGUGCUGAGCCCACACAAUCACAGACUCCGAUGACUAGGUCUGUCAGGUCCCUUACAUUGCCUAGCAGAGUUGUUUUGAAAACUCCGUCAUUUGCCCAUUCUGUUACCGCUGAUGACCAAACCCCCAAAGACACUCCUGCAAGAACAGAGGAAAUACCAGUCAGUCAGUUCCCUUUCUCACAUGGAAUUAAGAGUAGAGUGCCAUUAAGGAAAUCACUGUUUCUAAACAAACCAGAGACGGCAAUUUCAAAGAGACUAGAAGCUUCUGUUGCCAGAGUAGAGGAGGAACGUUUCCCAAUGUCCACAACCAAAACCGGCCAACUUGGGGUUCUCAGAGCUCAACAGAGCUCUUAUUCAGUGUUUUCGAGGAAAUAUUCCAGUACAGAGGACAUAGAUCUAGUGGAACUAAAUGCUGCCAACAACAACAACCUGCAAAACUCCAGUAUGACCAGACAAAAAGUAACUCCAGAUACCACAUUUUCUCCCAAAGUUUUAACAAAUUUUAAUGUUCAACAAUCUGGCUUUAAUGUUCAAAAAUUUAAAUCACAAAGUACACACAAUAUAAUAGCCAGUAGUUCAUCAGGCACAAGCACCUUCACAGACAGGCUUAACUACUCACCAAGGAAAGACUCUUCUGUAGAUGGAACAAGUCCCACAAAUGUGGGGCAGAUAUAUCUGGACUCUAAGAAAUAUUCUCAGUCAAGUCAAAGCACAAUGGAUCUUUCGAGCCUUCUUUCUCCAAGCAGACCUCUCAGAAGUGUAAGAGUACCAAGCAUUUAUUCAUACCUAAGGGAGUCCAGCUCAGCUAUGUCCACCCCUUUCCCUUCUACCCCUUCUUCCCACAUACAGAAAGGUGAAACAUUGCCUCCUGAGCAAAAUGGAGGUGGAACACUACAGGGUGACCGGAAAACACUUCCUUCAAGAUUUUCAUUUGACUUUGUACCACAGGUAGAAGCAUUACAAAGAAGCUCUUAUGGCUCCAGCUCUCAUAUAGCACCAGCUCAAUCUCUGCCUCCUGAUUUUGGACGAAGAUCAGCACCUCGUCUCAGCACUUCUCCAUAUUCUAGCCUCAUCUCCUCACGACCUACACUCAACAACACUUUACAAGAACUAUCCUCUCCACCUGUGUCCAAAACUCAUACCCGAACUACAUCUUAUGAUAUUGUAACCACUCCUGCAGACUUCAUUAAAGUUGAUCCAAUCUCUUCACUGUCCACAUACACAAGUAUAAUAAGAAGACCAAAGGAACAGUUAGCUUCUCCUAACAGAAAACAGAGGACAGCAGUUCAAGAUCAUACAAGCGCCCUAGAUAAUCACAAACCUGCCCAGCCAUGCCUCUUACAAGCUGCACCAGAUGCAAGUUUUUUCAUGGAAAGCCAAAGCUCAAAUAUAAGCCCACACCCAAGGCAGCCCAGCACAGGCUCUAACAACUUCUGUCAUCAGGAGCAUGAUGGCUUGAUGGAACUUCAGCUUGAUAAGGGUAAUGCUUACCCCAAGCACAGGCUGAGUGAGAACGAGAAGUAUUUAAUACCUGAUAAGCGCACAGUAGAAAAUAAGACUCCACUGAUAGCUGAGAGAGAGAUUCCCACUGUGCAUAGGCAUGAGAGACUGCAGGAAAUGCAAAGUUCCAAUUCAAAAAAAGGCCUCUUUAGUUCACGAGUUAAGAAAGACAAAGAAGCUGUCUGCUCUUCAGCUUCUAUGCCAGACAAAGAGGUUGUUAAUCCCCAGUAUUUAAAAACCAAAAGACAUUCAACAGUGUUUAAAACCAUCAGCAGGGUUGACCAGAUGUUAAAUCGCUUGAAACUGACAUUUGGUGUCAAACAUUCAGACAGCUCACUUGACGCACUAUCGAAAAAGAACAAGAGUCCCACUCGGCAACUCUCAGAUACUGAGACUUUUGAAAGUCCCAAGACAGAGGACAAAACAUGUUCUGAGAGCCACCCGGAACCUUCUAACUACUCUUUAACAACUGAUAAAACCACUUUAAAUUCCUUGUCACUACUAACAUUAAAAGAAUCUCAGAAUACAUUAAAUGUGGAUGAACAAAAUAAGUCUAUGGCUGAAAUAAAUUAUUCUGGGAGUACACGGGAGGCCCCCAACUCAUUCUUGACCACUGAUAAAGCCUCUUUUGCAUCUUUGUCACCACUUACAUUAAAGAAAUCUGAGAAUACUCAAAAUAUGAAUUGGCAAAACAGAUCUACAACUGAACAAAAGGGUUCUGGGUGCACAUGGGAGGCCCCCAACUCAUAUUUUACCACCGAUAAAGCAUCUUUUGACUCUUUUGGGUCUUUGUCGCCACUUACAUUAAAGAAAUCUGAGAAUUCUUUAAAUAUGGACUGGCAAAACAGAUCUACAACAGAUCAAAAGAGUUCUGGGUGCACAUGGGAGGAACCCAACUCAUCUUUGACCACUGAUAAAGCACCUUUGGCUUCUUUUGAGUCCUUGUCACCAUUAAUAUUAAAUAAAUCAUCUGAGAAUAUGUUAAAUGUUCAUCAGCAAAAGAGGCAUAGCGAUGAAAAUGGAAACCGCUCUUAUGGUAGGAGCUUUAGUCCACAUAGGCUAAAGGCCCAAAGUAUGAAUCGUUCUGCCACCUUGCCACAUUACAGAAAAUCCUCUGUCGGUCCCCCAUCACCCUUUUAUUUGUUUGAUUUUGAUUCAGAAGACAUUCAGAAUGACAAUGUGUUUUAUAGUCCAGUGUGCAAAAAAACAAAUUCACUGUGUGAGUCUGAUGACUUCUCUUCUCUGAACUCCACCAAGAGUCCCGUGCAGCAAAACCUUGUGAGGUCUCACUUGUCCUCGUCGUGUGCUGAUUUAAAGUAUGGUCUACACAAUGGACGAUCUUUCUCGGUAAGCAGUGUGGUUUCAAGCCGCCCAUCAGGUCCUGGACGAAUCUCAACAAGCAGCAUCAGCGACCUCUCAAGUUUGGAUGACUUUGUGCCGAAGGGGAAUUAUACAGUAGUUGACUCUCCAAUGAAUAGUAGCCAUUCUCCAGUCUGUGAUGCCAAAUCUAUCACUGGUAAACAGUCUGGACCUGGAUAUACAGAUGAUCUUGAUCUUGAUCAUUAUGAUGCAGACCCAACCCCACCUCCAUCACCAACUAUGUCCUCUUCACCUCGGCGGAUGUCCCAGGCACCUUCUGUGUCUUCCCCCAUGUGGACAACUCCAGAAAAUAUGUCUCCUUCUCGUGGAAUCCUGUCAUCAAGGAGCUACACAACCAGCUUGACUGUUUUUGAGGAGUCUGAUUCUGACACCACAACCGAAGAUGAAUACUAUCUUGACAAUUGUGAUGAUGCAGAAGAAACAGAACUUUAGAGGAGAGAAUUAUGUGUUGUUCAAUUCCAUCAUGUUUACAUAUACUGAACCUUUUAAAUUGGGGAGUGCGGGGGUUCUACGUUUAGGGUCUUCUACUACAAAGCUGCAGCAACAUUAGGCCUCUGUCAAGCCAAUCUAAAUUGUAAAAACAACUAGAAAUCCAGAUUGGAUAUGAAUAGAAAGAAAUAUAAUUAUAUCAGAAAUGUAAGACCAUGUUGAUUUCAUAUUUUUUGUUAUAAAUUAAAUAUAAUGGGCUUUUUGAAUACUUUAGUGUUUGAGGAUAGCAAUUUUUUAUUUCAUUAUGAAUUCAUAUACAAUACAGUACAUUAGGUUUUUUAUAUAUAUUUUCUGGAUCUUGAGUCUUUGAAAUGGUGAAUUCUCACAUCAUUCCUUUAUUGAGGCCUGCUUCCUGUAGGUUAUUGACUGUUUCAUUCACUGUGGCAUUUGAAAGCACAGCAUGUCAGUUACAAUACAUUAUUUUCCUGACAGACAUUCUAUAGUCAGUAGCUGUUAACUAAGAAACUGAACCCCAACUGUUUAACACAGGUGUUUGAAUUUUUUUCAUUUCAUACUGCUCCUUUAACAGUCAGAAAAGAAAAAAAAGAAUAGAACAAUUGAAGUGCCCCUGUAACACUGAUGAUUCCACAUUAAUUGCGGUUAAGUCUGUAAAGAAGAUGAUGUUACAGAAGUCUGCUAUCCAUUUGAUAUUACCGUUAAAAGUAUGAAAGUGUUAUUGAAAACUGGCUGAUCCUGGCAUAUGCAACAUCCGCAACUUGUUAAUUUGAGGUUCAAACAAGGCCUCUCACAAUCAUUGCAAAAGACAUACCACUAGAUGAACUAAGCAUUCUUAAAUAAGAUCUCACAGUUGAUUUUAUUUACUGUAUAAUUUAAUUGUGCUGUUUGUGUGCAUCAUGUUUGUGUGUGGCUUUCAGUGUAAUUUUAAUGGAUCUUUUAUUAUAAUUUAUUAUGCAGGGCAGGGGUUGGGGCAUCAUUUCUCCCCUAGAGCCUAGGGACCUCCAUAAGCUGUUAAGAUGCUCAAUUGCAGCACUGACAACAACACAGUAGGAAAUGCUGUAUAACAUAGUCCUACAUAUGUAAGGUCCUUUAUGUAAGGGAUUUCUUGAAUGUCUACAUUAAAUCGGUUAUAUUUAUUAACAUUUAAUAUAUUGAAUACACUGUAUUUUUCUUAAGGCAUAAGGCGAAUAAUAUUGAUCACUUAUUAAAAAAAUUAAUAAAGUAUCUGUAAAUGACAAACUUUGCACAUGACCUAAGUUAAACUGCUAUGCUAAAUUUUUAUUAGCAAGUACACUGUAGACUUAGUAAACUGUAUAACUCUAAUAACACAGAAAUUCCUUAAUUACAG